rnacentral:rRNA from 1 species
UGGGGAAUUUUGGGCAAUGGGCGAAAGCCUGACCCAGCAACGCCGCGUGGAGGACGAAGGUUUUCGGAUCGUAAACUCCUGUCCAGAGGGACGAAGCAAGUGACGGUACCUCUGGAGGAAGCCCCGGCUAACUCCGUGCCAGCAGCCGCGGUAAGUACGGGGGGGGCAAGCGUUGUUCGGAAUUACUGGGCGUAAAGGGCGCGUAGGCGGCCUCGGAAGUCAUGGGUGAAAGCCCCGAGCUCAACUCGGGUAUGGCCUGUGAAACCACGGGGCUGGAGUGCUGGAGAGGGAAGCGGAAUUCCCAGUGUAGCGGUGAAAUGCGUAGAUAUUGGGAGGAACACCGGUGGCGUAGGCGGCUUCCUGGACAGACACUGACGCUGAGGCGCGAAAGCCAGGGGAGCGAACGGGAUUAGAUACCCCGGUAGUCCUGGCUGUAAACGAUGAACACUUGAUGUGGGGGGUAGGCAAGUCCCUCCGUGUCGCAGAUAACUCGUUAAGUGUUCCGCCUGGGGAGUACGGCCGCAAGGCUA